CCUACGGGUGGCAGCAGUGAGGAAUAUUGGUCAAUGGUCGGGAGACUGAACCAGCCAAGCCGCGUGAGGGAUGAAGGUACAGAGUAUCGUAAACCUCUUUUGUCAGGGAACAAAGGCGGGGACGUGUCCCCGGAUGAGUGUACCUGAAGAAAAAGCAUCGGCUAACUCCGUGCCAGCAGCCGCGGUAAUACGGAGGAUGCGAGCGUUAUCGGGUUUUAUUGGGUUUAAAGGGUGCGCAGGCGGUCUGUUAAGUGAGCGGUAAAAGCCCGGGGCUCAACCCCGGCCCGCCGUUGAAACUGGCAGUCUCGAGUUGGAGAGAAGUAUGCGGAAUGCGCGGUGUAGCGGUGAAAUGCAUAGAUAUCGCGCAGAACUCCGAUUGCGAAGGCAGCAUGCCGGCUCCACACUGACGCUGAGGCACGAAAGCGUGGGUAUCGAACAGGAUUAGAUACCCGAGUAGUC
rnacentral:rRNA from 1 species